rfam:Gossypium raimondii Chr13_contig_22, whole genome shotgun sequence.
UGUUAAAAGUUUCAUCCAUUCUUACUGUUGAAAAAUUGGCAUGGUUGAUAGAAUUGCCAAAAAAUUGCACAUGGAGUGCCACAAGUACCUAUUCUAGCGUACAUAAACUAAUUUUUAAUAGUAGAUAUAGUUGAAAUUUUUAGUA